AGAGUUUGAUCCUGGCUCAGAGUGAACGCUGGCGGCGUGGAUUAGGCAUGCAAGUCGAGCGAUCCUUGUCGAGCCACAUUGAGUCUGCUUGCAGAUGAGAUGUGGUGAGACGUUGGAUAGCGGCAAACGGGUUAGUAACACGUGAGGAAUCUGCCUCGAAGUCGAACAUAGCUUCGUGAAAACGGAGGUAAUAUUCGAUGUGGUCCCAUUAUCGCAUGGUGAUGGGAUUAAAGAUGGGGACCGCAAGGCCUAUCACUUCGGGAUGACCUCGCGUCCUAUCAGCUAGUUGGUAGGGUAACGGCCUACCAAGGCUUUUGACGGGUAGCUGGUCUGAGAGGACGACCAGCAACACUGGGACUGAGACACUGCCCAGACUCCUACGGGAGGCUGCAGUCGAGAAUCUUUAGCAAUGGGCGAAAGCCUGACUAUGCGACGCCGCGUGCAGGAUGAAGGCCUUCGGGUUGUAAACUGCUUUUUUCAGGGAAGAAUCCUUUGACUCUAACAUAAGCAAAGUUGACGGUACCUGACGAAUAAGCCACGGCCAACUCCGUGCCAGCAGCCGCGGUAAUACGGAGGUGGCGAGCGUUACUCGGAAUCAUUGGGUGUAAAGGGCAAGUAGGCGGCCUAUUAAGUGAGGGGUGAAAUCUUCCGGCUCAAUCGGAAAAUUGCCUUUCAAACUGGUAGGCUUGAGGUUGGGAGAGGGAAACGGAAUUAGCGGUGUAAGGGUGAAAUCUGUAGAUAUCGCUAAGAACACCAGCGGCGAAGGCGGUUUCCUGGCCCAAAUCUGACGCUGAAUUGCGAAAGCUAGGGGAGCAAACAGAAUUAGAUACUCUGGUAGUCCUAGCCGUGAACGAUGAGCACUAGGUGUUGGUCCUUCGGGGCCAGUGCCGCAGCUAACGCAUUAAGUGCUCCACCUGGGGACUACGGCCGCAAGGCUAAAACUCAAAGGAAUUGACGGGGACCCGCACAAGCGGUGGAACAUGUGGUUUAAUUCGAAGCUACGCGAAAAACCUCACCAGGGCUUGACAUGUAGGUAGUAGUGAACUGAAAGGGGAACCACCCGUAAAGUCGGGAGCUUACACAGGUGCUGCAUGGCUGUCGUCAGCUCGUGUCGUGAGAUGUUGGGUUAAGUCCCGCAACGAGCGCAACCAUUGCCCCAUGUUGCCCCUCCCCAUUUGCUUUCGUAAGAAAGCGUGGGGACGCACUCUUGGGGGACUGCCUGGGAUAACCAGGAGGAAGGUGGAGAUGACGUCAAGUCAGUACGGCCUUUAUGUCCUGGGCUACACACGUGUUACAAUGGCUGGUACAGAGGGUUGCCAACCCGCAAGGGGGAGCUAAUCUCAAAAAGCCAGCCUCAGUUCGGAUUGGAGUCUGCAAUUCGGCUCCAUGAAGCCGAAAUCGCUAGUAAUGGGAGAUCAGCACGCUCCCGUGAAUACGUUCCCGGGUCUUGUACACACCGCCCGUCAAGCGAUAAGAGCUGGGAGUACCCGAAGUCCUAUGUAGGUAGGCCGAAGGUAAAACCGGUGAUUGGCGCUAAGUCGGAACAAGGUA
rnacentral:rRNA from 1 species